AUUGAACGCUGGCGGCAGGCUUAACACAUGCAAGUCGAGCGAGCGGCGGACGGGUGAGUAAUGUGUGGGACACUGCCAGAUGGAGGGGGAUAACUACUGGAAACGGUAGCUAAUACCGCAUACCAUCAGAUGCGCCCAGAUGGGAGUAGCUAGUAGGUGGGGUAAUGGCUCACCUAGGCGACGACCCCGAGCUGGUCUGAGAGGAUGACCAGCCACACUGGAACUGAGACACGGUCCAGACUCCUACGGGCGGCAGCAGUGGGGAAUAUUGCACCAUGGGCGAAAGCCUGAUGCAGCCAUGCCGCGUGUGUGAAGAAGGCCUUCGGGUUGUAAAGCACUUUCAGCGGGGAGGCGUUACUCGCAGAAGAAGCACCGGCUAACUCCGUGCCAGCAGCCGCGGUAAUAC
rnacentral:rRNA from 1 species